GGAGAGGAACAGACAAGGCCGCGGCUCUGCCGCUCCAAUCCUUGUUGCAGUGUCCUGGAGGGCUCUCCUCUGUGGCUCUGCUCAAAAUCCUCGGCUAUGCCUUGGAUCGUGUUCUUGCCAGUGGCUGCUCGCUCUGGCUGCCAUUUGCUUACUGCUUAGCAGUUCAGCUUCAUCCUCUUCUCUCCGAUACACUUGCUGUUUCUUACCUUGAAUGCAUCAGCAGACAGUUUGGCAAGUGAAGCCUCUAUGUGGAAGUGGGUGCCUCUCGUGACUGUGUCAGCAACCCGGGCCCGUGUGACAUCCAACUGAAGGAAGUUGCCGUUUUGUCCUCCUCCCGUUUCCUCCUGUCCAUGCGCAGUGACUGUUGCUCAUGUGCUAAAGACUGUUGCGUUACUUGAAUGUUGGGGUGCAUGCGCUCACUCAGCGCUUGCUGCGCUACCCCACUGAACGUGCUCUGGCUCCUGGGUGGCAACCUGCCCAGCUAAUUGGGGCAUCCCUUGAAACUCCCCUGUGCUGUAGUAAUUUGCCUUUUGUGUGUUUUUGUGUUUUUGGUUUGCUGUGACUUUUCUUUUCUGUUUGCUGUGGUUUUCAUUUCUUUGGUUUGCAAUGUUUCGUUAAUUAUUUUUCUACAGUACAGUUGUGGUUUGUUUUUAAGGAUCCUCUUCUUGGGCGCACCAACCCCAGGAACCGUGUGUGUGUG